GCCAACCACNGAAAAGCCANCUCAGUUCGGAUUGUAGUCUGNAACCCGACUACAUGAAGCUGGAAUCGCUAGUAAUCGCAGAUCAGAAUGCUGCGGUGAAUACGUUCCCGGGUCUUGUACACACCGCCCGUCACACCAUGGGAGUUGGAAAUGCCCGAAGCCAGUGACCCAACCGUAAGGAGGGAGCUGUCGAAGGUGGAGCCGAUGACUGGGGUGAAGUCGUAACAAGGUAUC
rnacentral:rRNA from 1 species